rfam:Nipponia nippon contig51171, whole genome shotgun sequence.
GUGUAUUCUCAGCUUUGAGAACUGAAUUCCAUGGGUUGUAAUUGAAUCCGCUGUCAGACCCAUGGGGCUCAGUUCUUCAGCUUGGAUGUUUCUG